AGUGAACGCUGGCGGUAGGCCUAACACAUGCAAGUCGAACGGCAGCACAGUAAGAGCUUGCUCUUACGGGUGGCGAGUGGCGGACGGGUGAGGAAUACAUCGGAAUCUACUUUUUCGUGGGGGAUAACGUAGGGAAACUUACGCUAAUACCGCAUACGACCUACGGGUGAAAGCAGGGGAUCUUCGGACCUUGCGCGAUUGAAUGAGCCGAUGUCGGAUUAGCUAGUUGGCGGGGUAAAGGCCCACCAAGGCGACGAUCCGUAGCUGGUCUGAGAGGAUGAUCAGCCACACUGGAACUGGGACACGGUCCAGACUCCUACGGGAGGCAGCAGUGGGGAAUAUUGGACAAUGGGCGCAAGCCUGAUCCAGCCAUUCCGCGGGGGUGAAGAAGGCCUUCGGGUUGUAAAGCCCUUUUGGUGGGGAAGAAAAGCAGCAAGUUAAUACCCCGCUGUUCUGACGGUACCCAAAGAAUAAGCACCGGCUAACUUCGUU
rnacentral:rRNA from 1 species